rnacentral:rRNA from 1 species
UACGUAGGGUGCGAGCGUUUGUCCGGAAUUAUUGGGCGUAAAGAGCUCGUAGGCGGUCUGUCGCGUCUGCUGUGAAAACCCGAGGCUCAACCUCGGGCCUGCAGUGGGUACGGGCAGACUAGAGUCCGGUAGGGGGAGCAUGGAAUUCCUGGUGUAGCGGUGAAAUGCGCAGAUAUCAGGAAGAACACCCGUGGCGAAGGCGGCUCCUCUGGGGACGGUACUGACGCUGAGACGCGAAAGCGUGGGGAGCGAACAGG